rnacentral:rRNA from 2 species
UUAAGCGACUAAGCGUACACGGUGGAUGCCCUGGCAGUCAGAGGCGAUGAAGGACGUGCUAAUCUGCGAUAAGCGUCGGUAAGGUGAUAUGAACCGUUAUAACCGGCGAUUUCCGAAUGGGGAAACCCAGUGUGAUUCGUCACACUAUCAUUAACUGAAUCCAUAGGUUAAUGAGGCGAACCGGGGGAACUGAAACAUCUAAGUACCCCGAGGAAAAGAAAUCAACCGAGAUUCCCCCAGUAGCGGCGAGCGAACGGGGAGGAGCCCAGAGCCUGAAUCAGUGUGUGUGUUAGUGGAAGCGUCUGGAAAGGCGCGCGAUACAGGGUGACAGCCCCGUACACAAAAAUGCACAUACUGUGAGCUCGAUGAGUAGGGCGGGACACGUGGUAUCCUGUCUGAAUAUGGGGGGACCAUCCUCCAAGGCUAAAUACUCCUGACUGACCGAUAGUGAACCAGUACCGUGAGGGAAAGGCGAAAAGAACCCCGGCGAGGGGAGUGAAAAAGAACCUGAAACCGUGUACGUACAAGCAGUGGGAGCCUCUUAAUGGGGUGACUGCGUACCUUUUGUAUAAUGGGUCAGCGACUUAUAUUCUGUAGCAAGGUUAACCGAAUAGGGGAGCCGAAGGGAAACCGAGUCUUAACUGGGCGUUAAGUUGCAGGGUAUAGACCCGAAACCCGGUGAUCUAGCCAUGGGCAGGUUGAAGGUUGGGUAACACUAACUGGAGGACCGAACCGACUAAUGUUGAAAAAUUAGCGGAUGACUUGUGGCUGGGGGUGAAAGGCCAAUCAAACCGGGAGAUAGCUGGUUCUCCCCGAAAGCUAUUUAGGUAGCGCCUCGUGAAUUCAUCUCCGGGGGUAGAGCACUGUUUCGGCAAGGGGGUCAUCCCGACUUACCAACCCGAUGCAAACUGCGAAUACCGGAGAAUGUUAUCACGGGAGACACACGGCGGGUGCUAACGUCCGUCGUGAAGAGGGAAACAACCCAGACCGCCAGCUAAGGUCCCAAAGUCAUGGUUAAGUGGGAAACGAUGUGGGAAGGCCCAGACAGCCAGGAUGUUGGCUUAGAAGCAGCCAUCAUUUAAAGAAAGCGUAAUAGCUCACUGGUCGAGUCGGCCUGCGCGGAAGAUGUAACGGGGCUAAACCAUGCACCGAAGCUGCGGCAGCGACGCUUAUGCGUUGUUGGGUAGGGGAGCGUUCUGUAAGCCUGCGAAGGUGUGCUGUGAGGCAUGCUGGAGGUAUCAGAAGUGCGAAUGCUGACAUAAGUAACGAUAAAGCGGGUGAAAAGCCCGCUCGCCGGAAGACCAAGGGUUCCUGUCCAACGUUAAUCGGGGCAGGGUGAGUCGACCCCUAAGGCGAGGCCGAAAGGCGUAGUCGAUGGGAAACAGGUUAAUAUUCCUGUACUUGGUGUUACUGCGAAGGGGGGACGGAGAAGGCUAUGUUGGCCGGGCGACGGUUGUCCCGGUUUAAGCGUGUAGGCUGGUUUUCCAGGCAAAUCCGGAAAAUCAAGGCUGAGGCGUGAUGACGAGGCACUACGGUGCUGAAGCAACAAAUGCCCUGCUUCCAGGAAAAGCCUCUAAGCAUCAGGUAACAUCAAAUCGUACCCCAAACCGACACAGGUGGUCAGGUAGAGAAUACCAAGGCGCUUGAGAGAACUCGGGUGAAGGAACUAGGCAAAAUGGUGCCGUAACUUCGGGAGAAGGCACGCUGAUAUGUAGGUGAAGUCCCUCGCGGAUGGAGCUGAAAUCAGUCGAAGAUACCAGCUGGCUGCAACUGUUUAUUAAAAACACAGCACUGUGCAAACACGAAAGUGGACGUAUACGGUGUGACGCCUGCCCGGUGCCGGAAGGUUAAUUGAUGGGGUUAGCGGUAACGCGAAGCUCUUGAUCGAAGCCCCGGUAAACGGCGGCCGUAACUAUAACGGUCCUAAGGUAGCGAAAUUCCUUGUCGGGUAAGUUCCGACCUGCACGAAUGGCGUAAUGAUGGCCAGGCUGUCUCCACCCGAGACUCAGUGAAAUUGAACUCGCUGUGAAGAUGCAGUGUACCCGCGGCAAGACGGAAAGACCCCGUGAACCUUUACUAUAGCUUGACACUGAACAUUGAGCCUUGAUGUGUAGGAUAGGUGGGAGGCUUUGAAGUGUGGACGCCAGUCUGCAUGGAGCCGACCUUGAAAUACCACCCUUUAAUGUUUGAUGUUCUAACGUUGGCCCCUAAUCGGGGUUGCGGACAGUGUCUGGUGGGUAGUUUGACUGGGGCGGUCUCCUCCUAAAGAGUAACGGAGGAGCACGAAGGUUGGCUAAUCCUGGUCGGACAUCAGGAGGUUAGUGCAAUGGCAUAAGCCAGCUUGACUGCGAGCGUGACGGCGCGAGCAGGUGCGAAAGCAGGUCAUAGUGAUCCGGUGGUUCUGAAUGGAAGGGCCAUCGCUCAACGGAUAAAAGGUACUCCGGGGAUAACAGGCUGAUACCGCCCAAGAGUUCAUAUCGACGGCGGUGUUUGGCACCUCGAUGUCGGCUCAUCACAUCCUGGGGCUGAAGUAGGUCCCAAGGGUAUGGCUGUUCGCCAUUUAAAGUGGUACGCGAGCUGGGUUUAGAACGUCGUGAGACAGUUCGGUCCCUAUCUGCCGUGGGCGCUGGAGAACUGAGGGGGGCUGCUCCUAGUACGAGAGGACCGGAGUGGACGCAUCACUGGUGUUCGGGUUGUCAUGCCAAUGGCACUGCCCGGUAGCUAAAUGCGGAAGAGAUAAGUGCUGAAAGCAUCUAAGCACGAAACUUGCCCCGAGAUGAGUUCUCCCUGACUCCCUGAGAGUCCUGAAGGAACGUUGAAGACGACGACGUUGAUAGGCCGGGUGUGUAAGCGCAGCGAUGCGUUGAGCUAACCGGUACUAAUGAACCGUGAGGCUUAACCUU